UACGUAGGGUGCGAGCGUUAAUCGGAAUUACUGGGCGUAAAGCGUGCGCAGGCGGCGCGUUAAGACAGGUGUGAAAGCCCCGAGCUUAACUUGGGAAUUGCGCUUGUGACUGGCGUGCUGGAGUGUGGCAGAGGGAGGUGGAAUUCCACGUGUAGCAGUGAAAUGCGUAGAGAUGUGGAGGAACACCUGUGGCGAAAGCGGCUCACUGGACCACAACUGACGCUGAGGCGCGAAAGCUAGGGGAGCAAACAGG
rnacentral:rRNA from 1 species